GGUUAAGCGACUAAGCGUACACGGUGGAUGCCCUGGCAGUCAGAGGCGAUGAAGGACGUGCUAAUCUGCGAUAAGCGUCGGUAAGGUGAUAUGAACCGUUAUAACCGGCGAUUUCCGAAUGGGGAAACCCAGUGUGAUUCGUCACACUAUCAUUAACUGAAUCCAUAGGUUAAUGAGGCGAACCGGGGGAACUGAAACAUCUAAGUACCCCGAGGAAAAGAAAUCAACCGAGAUUCCCCCAGUAGCGGCGAGCGAACGGGGAGCAGCCCAGAGCCUGAAUCAGUGUGUGUGUUAGUGGAAGCGUCUGGAAAGGCGCGCGAUACAGGGUGACAGCCCCGUACACAAAAAUGCACAUGCUGUGAGCUCGAUGAGUAGGGCGGGACACGUGGUAUCCUGUCUGAAUAUGGGGGGACCAUCCUCCAAGGCUAAAUACUCCUGACUGACCGAUAGUGAACCAGUACCGUGAGGGAAAGGCGAAAAGAACCCCGGCGAGGGGAGUGAAAAAGAACCUGAAACCGUGUACGUACAAGCAGUGGGAGCCUCUUAAUGGGGUGACUGCGUACCUUUUGUAUAAUGGGUCAGCGACUUAUAUUCUGUAGCAAGGUUAACCGAAUAGGGGAGCCGAAGGGAAACCGAGUCUUAACUGGGCGUUAAGUUGCAGGGUAUAGACCCGAAACCCGGUGAUCUAGCCAUGGGCAGGUUGAAGGUUGGGUAACACUAACUGGAGGACCGAACCGACUAAUGUUGAAAAAUUAGCGGAUGACUUGUGGCUGGGGGUGAAAGGCCAAUCAAACCGGGAGAUAGCUGGUUCUCCCCGAAAGCUAUUUAGGUAGCGCCUCGUGAAUUCAUCUCCGGGGGUAGAGCACUGUUUCGGCAAGGGGGUCAUCCCGACUUACCAACCCGAUGCAAACUGCGAAUACCGGAGAAUGUUAUCACGGGAGACACACGGCGGGUGCUAACGUCCGUCGUGAAGAGGGAAACAACCCAGACCGCCAGCUAAGGUCCCAAAGUCAUGGUUAAGUGGGAAACGAUGUGGGAAGGCCCAGACAGCCAGGAUGUUGGCUUAGAAGCAGCCAUCAUUUAAAGAAAGCGUAAUAGCUCACUGGUCGAGUCGGCCUGCGCGGAAGAUGUAACGGGGCUAAACCAUGCACCGAAGCUGCGGCAGCGACACUAUGUGUUGUUGGGUAGGGGAGCGUUCUGUAAGCCUGCGAAGGUGUACUGUGAGGUAUGCUGGAGGUAUCAGAAGUGCGAAUGCUGACAUAAGUAACGAUAAAGCGGGUGAAAAGCCCGCUCGCCGGAAGACCAAGGGUUCCUGUCCAACGUUAAUCGGGGCAGGGUGAGUCGACCCCUAAGGCGAGGCCGAAAGGCGUAGUCGAUGGGAAACAGGUUAAUAUUCCUGUACUUGGUGUUACUGCGAAGGGGGGACGGAGAAGGCUAUGUUGGCCGGGCGACGGUUGUCCCGGUUUAAGCGUGUAGGCUGGUUUUCCAGGCAAAUCCGGAAAAUCAAGGCUGAGGCGUGAUGACGAGGCACUACGGUGCUGAAGCAACAAAUGCCCUGCUUCCAGGAAAAGCCUCUAAGCAUCAGGUAACAUCAAAUCGUACCCCAAACCGACACAGGUGGUCAGGUAGAGAAUACCAAGGCGCUUGAGAGAACUCGGGUGAAGGAACUAGGCAAAAUGGUGCCGUAACUUCGGGAGAAGGCACGCUGAUACGUAGGUGAAGUCCCUUGCGGAUGGAGCUGAAAUCAGUCGAAGAUACCAGCUGGCUGCAACUGUUUAUUAAAAACACAGCACUGUGCAAACACGAAAGUGGACGUAUACGGUGUGACGCCUGCCCGGUGCCGGAAGGUUAAUUGAUGGGGUUAGCGGUAACGCGAAGCUCUUGAUCGAAGCCCCGGUAAACGGCGGCCGUAACUAUAACGGUCCUAAGGUAGCGAAAUUCCUUGUCGGGUAAGUUCCGACCUGCACGAAUGGCGUAAUGAUGGCCAGGCUGUCUCCACCCGAGACUCAGUGAAAUUGAACUCGCUGUGAAGAUGCAGUGUACCCGCGGCAAGACGGAAAGACCCCGUGAACCUUUACUAUAGCUUGACACUGAACAUUGAGCCUUGAUGUGUAGGAUAGGUGGGAGGCUUUGAAGUGUGGACGCCAGUCUGCAUGGAGCCGACCUUGAAAUACCACCCUUUAAUGUUUGAUGUUCUAACGUUGGCCCCUGAUCGGGGUUGCGGACAGUGUCUGGUGGGUAGUUUGACUGGGGCGGUCUCCUCCUAAAGAGUAACGGAGGAGCACGAAGGUUGGCUAAUCCUGGUCGGACAUCAGGAGGUUAGUGCAAUGGCAUAAGCCAGCUUGACUGCGAGCGUGACGGCGCGAGCAGGUGCGAAAGCAGGUCAUAGUGAUCCGGUGGUUCUGAAUGGAAGGGCCAUCGCUCAACGGAUAAAAGGUACUCCGGGGAUAACAGGCUGAUACCGCCCAAGAGUUCAUAUCGACGGCGGUGUUUGGCACCUCGAUGUCGGCUCAUCACAUCCUGGGGCUGAAGUAGGUCCCAAGGGUAUGGCUGUUCGCCAUUUAAAGUGGUACGCGAGCUGGGUUUAGAACGUCGUGAGACAGUUCGGUCCCUAUCUGCCGUGGGCGCUGGAGAACUGAGGGGGGCUGCUCCUAGUACGAGAGGACCGGAGUGGACGCAUCACUGGUGUUCGGGUUGUCAUGCCAAUGGCACUGCCCGGUAGCUAAAUGCGGAAGAGAUAAGUGCUGAAAGCAUCUAAGCACGAAACUUGCCCCGAGAUGAGUUCUCCCUGACUCCCUGAGAGUCCUGAAGGAACGUUGAAGACGACGACGUUGAUAGGCCGGGUGUGUAAGCGCAGCGAUGCGUUGAGCUAACCGGUACUAAUGAACCGUGAGGCUUAACCUU
rnacentral:rRNA from 1 species